rnacentral:rRNA from 1 species
GACGAACGCUGGCGGCGUGCUUAACACAUGCAAGUCGAGCGGUAAGGCCCUUUCGGGGGUACGACGAGCGGCGAACGGGUGAGUAACACGUGGGUGACCUGCCCUCCAGCUCUGGGAUAAGCCUGGGAAACCGGGUCUAAUACCGGAUAUGACUCCAUGACGCAUGUUGUGGGGUGGAAAGCCUUGUGCGGCUGAGGAUGGGCCCGCGGCCUAUCAGCUUGUUGGUGGGGUGAUGGCCUACCAAGGCGACGACGGGUAGCCGGCCUGAGAGGGCGACCGGCCACACUGGGACUGAGACCCGGCCCAGACUCCUACGGGAGGCAGCAGUGGGGAAUCUUGCGCAAUGGGCGAAAGCCUGACGCAGCGACGCCGCGUGAGGGAUGACGG